GGGAAGAGGCCGAGGAGCACGAAGACACCAUGCUGUCCCGGAUGAAAUUCGGGCCACAAUUAUAGACCAUGUCAUCAACCAUGGCCUCACAAUGGCGGAGGCAGGUCGCUGAGUGCAGCCUAAUGUGCCUCGCCCAACAGUCUCCACCAUCAUCCAAACCUUUCGAAGGGAAAACAGGCCUACAGUAAUAUCUUACCUCAAUGGGAUGUUAUGAUAAUAAAUAUGACAAGAAAAACAUCGGAGAAAAAAAGUACAUUCAUCUCUAGGAGACAGAACAAGUCUCCUUCCUGAGCGGUAUGACAGCUUCAGUACCCAGCUUCAGUACCCACUUUACCUGAUUUGUGUAUCCAGGUAAUCCAGAGAAUAAUGGCAUUGGAAGGAAACGAGACCCAUCACAUCCUCGUGUUUGUGGAUGAAGCUGGCUUCAACCUGGCCAAGGGCCGAAGACGUGGCCAUAAUAUUAUUGGCCACCGGGCCACGGCGGAUGUCCCAGGCCAGCGAGGGGGCAAUAUAACUAUGUGUGCUGCCAUAUCUGAGAAUGGUGUGGCCACUCACAUCUCCAGUCUUGGCCCAUACAAUACACAGAAGCUCCUCAUCUUCUUGGACCGCCUUCAUUUUGAUUUGAUACCUGAAAAUGAGAGCGGUCUUGUAGGGCCUCACCUACC
rnacentral:lncRNA from 1 species